UGAGGAAUAUUGCACAAUGGGCGCAAGCCUGAUGCAGCGACGCCGCGUGGGUGAAGAAGGAUUUCGGUCUGUAAAGCCCUUUUCUGUGUGACGAGAAUGGACGGUAGCACAGGAAUAAGUCUCGGCUAACUACGUGCCAGCAGCCGCGGUAAAACGUAGGAGGCAAGCGUUAUCCGGAGUAACUGGGCGUAAAGGGCGAGUAGGUGGUUGCGUAAGUUGGUUAUGAAAGCUCCUGGCUAAACUGGGAGAGGUUGACCAAGACUGCGCGACUUGAGUGGAGAAGAGGUAAACGGAAUUCCGCGUGUAGUGGUGAAAUGCGUAGAGAUGCGGAAGAACACCAGUGGCGAAGGCGGUUUACUGGUCUCCAACUGACACUGAACCGCGAAAGCAUGGGUAGCGAACGGGAUUAGAAACCCCGGUAGUCCAUGCCGUAAACGAUGCACACUAAACGUUCGACAUCCGCGAGGGUGUUGAGUGUUGAAGCUAACGCGAUAAGUGU
rnacentral:rRNA from 1 species